rnacentral:rRNA from 1 species
GUAGGUGGCAAGCGUUGUCCGGAAUUAUUGGGCGUAAAGCGCGCGCAGGCGGGUUCUUUAAGUCUGGUGUGAAAGCCCACGGGCUCAACCGUGGAGGGUCAUUGGAAACUGGAGAACUUGAGUACAGAAGAGGAAAGCGGAAUUCCACGUGUAGCGGUGAAAUGCGUAGAGAUGUGGAGGAACACCAGUGGCGAAGGCGGCUUUCUGGUCUGUAACUGACGCUGAGGCGCGAAAGCGUGGGGAGCAAACAGGAUUAGAUACCCUGGUAGUCCACGCCGUAAACGAUGAGUGCUAAGUGUUAGGGGGGUUUCCGCCCCUUAGUGCUGCAGCUAACGCAUUAAGCACUCCGCCUGGGGAGUACGGCCGCAAGGCUG